GAUCCGUUAGCUCAGCAGGCAGAGCAACUGCCUUUUAAGCAGUGGGUCCGGGGUUCGAAUCCCCGACGGGUCACCA
rnacentral:tRNA from 11 species